GAUGAACGCUGGCGGCGUGCCUAAUACAUGCAAGUCGAGCGAACGGACGAGAAGCUUGCUUCUCUGAUGUUAGCGGCGGACGGGUGAGUAACACGUGGAUAACCUACCUAUAAGACUGGGAUAACUUCGGGAAACCGGAGCUAAUACCGGAUGAUAUUUUGAACCGCAUGGUUCAAAAGUGAAAGACGGUCUUGCUGUCACUUAUAGAUGGAUCCGCGCUGCAUUAGCUAGUUGGUAAGGUAACGGCUUACCAAGGCAACGAUGCAUAGCCGACCUGAGAGGGUGAUCGGCCACACUGGAACUGAGACACGGUCCAGACUCCUACGGGAGGCAGCAGUAGGGAAUCUUCCGCAAUGGGCGAAAGCCUGACGGAGCAACGCCGCGUGAGUGAUGAAGGUCUUCGGAUCGUAAAACUCUGUUAUUAGGGAAGAACAUAUGUGUAAGUAACUGUGCACAUCUGGACGGUACCUAAUCAGAAAGCCACGGCUAACUACGU
rnacentral:rRNA from 1 species